AGUGAACGCUGGCGGUAGGCCUAACACAUGCAAGUCGAACGGCAGCACAGUAGGAGCUUGCUCUUACGGGUGGCGAGUGGCGGACGGGUGAGGAAUACAUCGGAAUCUACUUUUUCGUGGGGGAUAACGUAGGGAAACUUACGCUAAUACCGCAUACGACCUACGGGUGAAAGCAUGGGAUCUUCGGACCUUGCGCGAUUGAAUGAGCCGAUGUCGGAUUAGCUAGUUGGCGGGGUAAAGGCCCACCAAGGCGACGAUCCGUAGCUGGUCUGAGAGGAUGAUCAGCCACACUGGAACUGAGACACGGUCCAGACUCCUACGGGAGGCAGCAGUGGGGAAUAUUGGACAAAGGGCGCAAGCCUGAUCCAGCCAUACCGCGUGGGUGAAGAAGGCCUUCGGGUUGUAAAGCCCUUUUGUUGGGAAAGAAAAGCAGCAGGUUAAUACCCCGCUGUUCUGACGUUACCCAAAGAAUAAGCACCGGCUAACUUCGUG
rnacentral:rRNA from 1 species